AGUGAACGCUGGCGGUAGGCCUAACACAUGCAAGUCGAACGGCAGCACAGUAAGAGCUUGCUCUUACGGGUGGCGAGUGGCGGACGGGUGAGGAAUACAUCGGAAUCUACUUUUUCGUGGGGGAUAACGUAGGGAAACUUACGCUAAUACCGCAUACGACCUACGGGUGAAAGCAGGGGAUCUUCGGACCUUGCGCGAUUGAAUGAGCCGAUGUCGGAUUAGCUAGUUGGCGGGGUAAAGGCCCACCAAGGCGACGAUCCGUAGCUGGUCUGAGAGGAUGAUAAGCCACACUGGAACUGAGACACGGUCCAGACUCCUACGGGAGGCAGCAGUGGGGAAUAUUGGACAAUGGGCGCAAGCCUGAUCCAGCGAUACCGCGUGGGUGAAGAAGGCCUUCGGGUUGUAAAGACCUUUUGUUGGGAAAGAAAAGCAGCAGGUUAAUACCCAGCUGUUCUGACGGUACCCAAAGAAUAAGCACCGGCUAACUACGUG
rnacentral:rRNA from 1 species